UACGUAGGGUGCGAGCGUUGUCCGGAAUUAUUGGGCGUAAAGAGCUCGUAGGCGGUGUGUCACGUCGGCCGUGAAAACCUGCAGCUUAACUGUGGGCGUGCGGUCGAUACGGGCAUCACUGGAGUUCGGCAGGGGAGACUGGAAUUCCUGGUGUAGCGGUGAAAUGCGCAGAUAUCAGGAAGAACACCCGUGGCGAAGGCGGCUCUCUAGUACGGUACUGACGCUGAGACGCGAAAGCGUGGGGAGCGAACAGG
rnacentral:rRNA from 1 species